AUUCCACACAAGAAGAUCACACCAUCCCCCACCAUCAUCAGCAUGAAGAACAGAUAUAUAUGAAAGUUGAGGUUAAAGAGGAAGAAGAGGAGACAUAUGGGUAUCAGGAGUCUACAGAGGAGGUUGGGAUGGUGGGGAUCAUGAAACAGGAGGAAUCUGCUCCAGAUAUUAAGACAGAUGGAUCCAGUAAUGGGAACCCACCAGAGAGAUGUCCCC